rnacentral:rRNA from 2 species
AGAGUUUGAUCAUGGCUCAGAACGAACGCUGGCGGCAGGCUUAACACAUGCAAGUCGAACGCACCGCAAGGUGAGUGGCAGACGGGUGAGUAACGCGUGGGAACGUGCCCUUCAGUUCGGGAUAACCCAGGGAAACUUGGGCUAAUACCGGAUACGUGCGAGAGCAGAAAGAUUUAUCGCUGAAGGAUCGGCCCGCGUCUGAUUAGCUAGUUGGUAGGGUAAUGGCCUACCAAGGCGACGAUCAGUAGCUGGUCUGAGAGGAUGAUCAGCCACAUUGGGACUGAGACACGGCCCAAACUCCUACGGGAGGCAGCAGUGGGGAAUAUUGGACAAUGGGCGCAAGCCUGAUCCAGCCAUGCCGCGUGAGUGAUGAAGGCCUUAGGGUUGUAAAGCUCUUUCGUCCGGGACGAUAAUGACGGUACCGGAAGAAGAAGCCCCGGCUAACUUCGUGCCAGCAGCCGCGGUAAUACGAAGGGGGCUAGCGUUGUUCGGAGUUACUGGGCGUAAAGCGCGCGCAGGCGGCGGUGCUGGCCCGGCGUGAAAGCCCCCGGCUCAACCGGGGAGGGUCGUCGGGGACCGCACCGCUUGAGGGCGGUAGGGGCUGGUGGAAUGCCUGGUGUAGUGGUGAAAUGCGUAGAGAUCAGGCGGAACACCAGAGGCGAAGGCGGAUUGCUGGGCUGACACUGACGCUGAGGCGCGAAAGCUAGGGUAGCAAACGGGAUUAGAUACCCCCGUAGUCC